rnacentral:lncRNA from 1 species
AUAAGUGCCAACUGGUUGUCACCUCGCUGCAGCAACUGGCUAGGAACAGGGGGUCUGCGUUCGCGUGUGUGUGUGUGUGUGUGUGAGAGAGAGAGAAAGAGAGGCCAAAGCACAAGAUAAAGAGCCUGCGGUCUGCCGAAGGGUUUGAGGCUGAGGUAAACAACCCGCGGUCCACCCGCUCCUGGCACCAACGGGAGGCGGAGAAGCCCUAAGGGAAAACCAAAGCCGCCGCCUUCAGGUUUCCCCUCCUCGGCCAAGCCACUGGGCGACGCCGGGUCUUCUAACCCCACUUAGUCGCCCCCGCGAACUCUUGGCCGUCGAGGAACUUCGGCAUCUCGCGUGGGGGCUCCCUUUGUCAUGAAGUCCGACGGAGACAGCAGACGCUGGAAACGCGGGCGCGACUAAAUGGGGAAUCCCGAGUGGCGCUGCUCGACGAAGCUACCCCGCUAUCCCGAGCCGGAGGAGGAGGAGGAGGAGGAAACGCCGUCGCUUUGGCCGGGGAGGCAGAGCCCACGGAAACCCGUCGCCCCCAAGACCAGCGGGAUUGAGCGAAGGACGCCGGGAACCAUGACACGCCCGGACUUCCCUCGGUGCGCGUGGCUGGCGGAGAUCGGAGGGAAGCGGGCUGAGGGGCCGACCUGGCGGAGGGCGAAGAGACACCGGCCCCUCCCCUUUCAAGAGCGCCCGGCUUUCCCCUCGCAGCCGCUGCAGGGCCACCUUCAGCAGCUCCUCAUCUUCGUAGCCCCUCUUUUAAGUCCGGAGAGGGAAGUCCCCGUAUCCGAAAGUCGGGAUUCCGCUCGAACUCCUUGAUGCCCAUGGAGGAGCUUCUUCAUGGAAAUGUCCAGCAGCUGGAAUAGCGGAGAAAGGUCGGGAGCGCAAGUGUCCCGCUUCGGGCUCUCUUCUUCCCCAAAAUGCCCCUCACGGUUCCCAAUUCGCCGCUGUUUUCCUCUGGCUUGGAGAGCGGAGCCGGAGCCCGGACGCAGCUCUCGCCGGUACUUUCCUGCCCAAGGGCCACUUUACCUUCCGAUCCUCUCAGCCGGCGAGUGCGAAAGAAAGAAAGAAAGAAAGAAAGAAAGAAAGAAAGAAAGAAAGAAAGAAAGAAAGAAAGAAAACUCCUAGCGGAGGUUCCCGAG